rnacentral:rRNA from 1 species
UUCGCAAUGCCCGAAAGGGUGACGAAGCGACGCCGCGUGUGGGAAGAAGGCCUUCGGGUUGUAAACCACUGUCGGGAGUUAAGAAAUGCAAGGAUAUUAAUAGUGUCUUUGUUUGACUAAGGCUCCGGAGGAAGCCACGGCUAACUCUGUGCCAGCAGCCGCGGUAAUACAGAGGCGGCAAGCGUUGUUCGGAAUUAUUGGGCGUAAAGAGCACGUAGGCGGCUAUGUAAGUCGGUUGUGAAAGCCUUCCGCUCAACGGAAGAACAGCAUCCGAUACUACAUGGCUUGAGUGCGGGAGGGGAGAGUGGAACUUCUGGUGGGGCGGUGAAAUGCGUAGAUAUCAGAAGGAACGCCGGCGGCGAAAGCGGCUCUCUGGCCCAUAACUGACGCUGAGUGUGCGAAAGCUAGGGGAGCAAACGGGAUUAGAUACCCCGGUAGUCCUAGCCGUAAACGAUGGGCACUAAGUAGAGGGGUUUU